rnacentral:rRNA from 1 species
UACAGAGGGUGCGAGCGUUAAUCGGAAUUACUGGGCGUAAAGCGCACGUAGGCGGCUUGGUAUGUCGGGUGUGAAAUCCCCGGGCUCAACCUGGGAACUGCAUCCGAAACUGCCUUGCUAGAGUAUGGGAGAGGGAAGUGGAAUUUCCGGUGUAGCGGUGAAAUGCGUAGAUAUCGGAAGAACAUCAGUGGCGAAGGCGACUCCUGGACCAAUACUGACGCUCAGGUGCGAAAGCGUGGGAGCAAACAGGG